rnacentral:rRNA from 1 species
GACGUAGGGCGCGAGCGUUGUCCGGAAUUAUUGGGCGUAAAGAGCUCGUAGGCGGUCUGUCGCGUCGAUCGUGAAAACUUGGGGCUUAACCCUGAGCUUGCGGUCGAUACGGGCAUGACUGGAGUUCGGCAGGGGAGACUGGAAUUCAUGGUGUAGCAGUGAAAUGCGCAGAUAUCGGGAGGAACACCGGUGGCGAAGGCGGUUCUCUGGGCCUGUACUGACGCUGGAGGAGCGAAAGCGUGGGGAGCGAACAGG